CAGAGAGCCCUGGGACACCUCGGGAGCAGGGAAGGAGAGGUGCCAGGACCCGUCAGGAGGAAGGGAUUUCUGCCAUGAGGCACCUCCGGGCACGGGCGGCAGCUGGGCUGGGAUUUGGGGACCAGGGCUGCACAAGCUUCACCUGGCCGUGCUCUGCGAGCCUUUGCUUCGGUCCCUGGGCAGGAAUAAACUCCACUCACGGGACUUGGGGGGCUGGAGCCUCGGAUGGAUUUCUAGGACACGGCACCCCAAGGCCACCCCACAGCGGGGCCGGCAGGACGCUGCUGUCCCCAUCCCCACCUCCAAGCAGCCGCUGUUUUGCUUUCCCAGCGCCGUGACAUCGGCCAGAGGUGGCUCUUUCCUGGCUGGCGGCGUUCGCAGCGCCCUGGGCGCGGGGCUGACCACUCCCCCUCCCUUUGAAUAGGCAGCCCUGCCUCGAACACUAUGGUAUUUCCAUCCUCCCCGGCUCCGGCGCGGAGAGCACCAGGUAGUUGGGAGGAGAGCGGACACAAGUGUGGGAAGCCGUGGAGGAUACAAAGCUUUUCCCUGGGUCCUUCAGCUGAGCCGCACCUCCAAGAUGAUGAGUUAUUACAUGGACACGGCCAUCGGCAACGCAGCUCCUUAUCCUUUGGCUCGGCCUGGGAUGAUGGUAAGGAACGGACAGGACAACGGGGAACGGCCUUGCACUGCACAAGGGUGGGUAGGGAUUAGAUUUUAGUCAGAAAUUCUCCCCUGGGAGGGUGGGCAGGCCCUGGCACAGGGUGCCCAGAGCAGCUGUGGCUGCCCCUGGAUCCCUGGCAGUACCCAAGGCCAGGUUGGAUGGGGCUUGGAGCCACCUGGGAUAGUGGGAGGUGUCCCUGCCCAUGGCAGGAAUGAGACAGUCUCUAAGUUCCCUUUCAAUCCAAAUCAUUCCAUGACUCUAUAAAAGACAGGAGUUGGGGUUGGUUUCCUACCCCAGCAGUUUUCUCUCAGGUUGCUGUGAUUUCUCCAGCCCUGACCCAGCUCGGUGCCAUCUCGUGAGUCCCUUUAGGGAGUCCAGAGCAGUCCUGAAUUCCAAGCGUUUACCCAGAGCUUCUCUGCCCCUCUGGAGCCUGCAAACCUCCCCUGGAAAUGGGAUCCUGCAUCGGAUUUCCUGCGCUUGUGUUGGGAGGAUUGUCAGGGGAAGCAUUGUCCCGGUGCCUGCUCCCCCUGCUGCCCUUCACCUGGGAUCAGCACGGAGCAGGGCAGCGUUUGGGAAAGGUUCCCGUGGUUUUCUGGGGUUUUGGGAGCACUCCGGUGCUCCCUCUCCCGAGCCGGCUCUGCCCUGUUUGCAGCUGAUGGGUGGUUGCGUAUAAUAAAGGUUGGGGUGUGAUUCUGGGACAGGCUGGGCAGGGAUUUUAGCCUUUUUUAGGAAAAUCAGAUCCAUAUUUAGGGAAAUCUGAUCCAUGUUUAAAUCAAUCAGACCUAUAUUUAGAGAAAUCAGACCUCUAUUUAGAGAAAUGAUAUUUGUAGUUGUUUUUCCAAAGAACUGCUGAGCGUUAGAGGUCAGAUAAACCCUGGGCUGACACAGAACAUGUGCUAAGAGCCAACAUUUUCCCCAAAUUGGGAAGAAAAGCCCACCCUGAGCCGUAAAAUAUUCCCAAGGCAGCUGCACAGCUUUCCUUUGAAUGGUUCCGAGCAAACAUUUGGCUUUUAAAUAUUGAUUGGCCAUCAAGGAAAUCUAUUCCCCCGCAGGGAAAUGGUAACAAUGAUAAAAAAUUCAAACUUCCUGCAUUUAUUUAUAGGUACGUGCAUGGUAUUGUCCUCUCCUAGGGAGACAAACACUUAAAUGCAAUGUAUUUAUUAUAUGCUAUAUAUAUGUAUAUAUGUCUGUG
rnacentral:lncRNA from 13 species